rnacentral:rRNA from 1 species
GAUGAACGCUGGCGGUCUGCUUAACACAUGCAAGUCGAACGGGCUCUCGGAGCUAGUGGCGGACGGGUGAGUAACGCGUGAGGAUCUGCCGUUAGGACGGGGACAACAGCUGGAAACGGCUGCUAAUACCCGAUGUGCCGAGAGGUGAAACUAUUUGGCCUGAGGAUGAGCUCGCGUCUGAUUAGCUAGUUGGAGUGGUAACGGCACACCAAGGCGACGAUCAGUAGCUGGUCUGAGAGGAUGAUCAGCCACACUGGGACUGAGACACGGCCCAGACUCCUACGGGAGGCAGCAGUGGGGAAUUUUCCGCAAUGGGCGAAAGCCUGACGGAGCAAGACCGCGUGCGGGAGGAAGGUCUAUUGAUUGUAAACCGCUUUUGAUAGGGAAGAAGAUCUGACGGUACCUAUCGAAUCAGCAUCGGCUAACUCCGUGCCAGCAGCCGCGGUAAUACGGGGGAUGCAAGCGUUAUCCGGAAUUAUUGGGCGUAAAGCGUCCGUAGGUGGUUUUAAAAGUCUGUUGUCAAAUCGCGAGGCUUAACCUCGUACAGGCAGUGGAAACUGUAAGACUAGAGUGCGGUAGGGGUAGAGGGAAUUUCCAGUGUAGCGGUGAAAUGCGUAGAUAUUGGAAGAACACCGGUGGCGAAGGCGCUCUACUGGGCUGCACUGACACUGAGGGACGAAAGCUAGGGGAGCGAAAGGGAUUAGAUACCCCUGUAGUCCUAGCCGUAAACGAUGGAAACUAGGUGUUGCCCG